rnacentral:rRNA from 1 species
UAAUACUGGAUAUGUGACGUGACCGCAUGGUCUGCGUCUGGAAAGAAUUUCGGUUGGGGAUGGGCUCGCGGCCUAUCAGCUUGUUGGUGAGGUAAUGGCUCACCAAGGCGUCGACGGGUAGCCGGCCUGAGAGGGUGACCGGCCACACUGGGACUGAGACACGGCCCAGACUCCUACGGGAGGCAGCAGUGGGGAAUAUUGCACAAUGGGCGGAAGCCUGAUGCAGCAACGCCGCGUGAGGGAUGACGGCCUUCGGGUUGUAAACCUCUUUUAGCAGGGAAGAAGCGAAAGUGACGGUACCUGCAGAAAAAGCGCCGGCUAACUACGUGCCAGCAGCCGCGGUAAUACGUAGGGCGCAAGCGUUAUCCGGAAUUAUUGGGCGUAAAGAGCUCGUAGGCGGUUUGUCGCGUCUGCUGUGAAAUCCGGAGGCUCAACCUCCGGCCUGCAGUGGGUACGGGCAGACUAGAGUGCGGUAGGGGAGAUUGGAAUUCCUGGUGUAGCGGUGGAAUGCGCAGAUAUCAGGAGGAACACCGAUGGCGAAGGCAGAUCUCUGGGCCGUAACUGACGCUGAGGAGCGAAAGGGUGGGGAGCAAACAGGCUUAGAUACCCUGGUAGUCCACCCCGUAAACGUUGGGAACUAGUUGUGGGGUCCAUUCCACGGAUUCCGUGACGCAGCUAACGCAUUAAGUUCCCCGCCUGGGGAGUACGGCCGCAAGGCUAAAACUCAAAGGAAUUGACGGGGACCCGCACAAGCGGCGGAGCAUGCGGAUUAAUUCGAUGCAACGCGAAGAACCUUACCAAGGCUUGACAUAUACGAGAACGGGCCAGAAAUGGUCAACUCUUUGGACACUCGUAAACAGGUGGUGCAUGGUUGUCGUCAGCUCGUGUCGUGAGAUGUUGGGUUAAGUCCCGCAACGAGCGCAACCCUCGUUCUAUGUUGCCAGCACGUAAUGGUGGGAACUCAUGGGAUACUGCCGGGGUCAACUCGGAGGAAGGUGGGGAUGACGUCAAAUCAUCAUGCCCCUUAUGUCUUGGGCUUCACGCAUGCUACAAUGGCCGGUACAAAGGGCUGCAAUACCGCGAGGUGGAGCGAAUCCCAAAAAGCCGGUCCCAGUUCGGAUUGAGGUCUGCAACUCGACCUCAUGAAGUCGGAGUCGCUAGUAAUCGCAGAUCAGCAACGCUGCGGUGAAUACGUUCCCGGGUCUUGUACACACCGCCCGUCAAGUCAUGAAAGUCGGUAACACCUGAAGCCGG